CCCUAAGUAUGUUUGCACCUGCGCUGUUUUUUUGAGUGGCCGCAUCCGAAGAGAUGUUGUGUCGCAGUGGUAGUAGUAGGGGGCUAGUUAAUGAUAGGUGACGCACGUGAAGAGCGGUAUACCAGGAGGAGGAGGAAGGAGACGAUCCGCCUGCUGCCCAUGUCUUAGGUUACGAGCAGAGGUCGAGGCCGAGGCGAGAGUGGGUACGUGUGUGUAUGUAUGUAUGUAUGUAUGUAUGUAUGCAUGUAUGUAUGUAUGUAUGUAUGUAUGUAUGUAUGUAUGUAUGUAUGUAUGUAUGUAUGUAUGUAUGU
rnacentral:lncRNA from 1 species